GCCCUGGUGGCACAAUGGCUACACGCUGGGCUGCUAACCGAAAGGUUGGUGGUUCGAACCCACCCUGUGGCA
rnacentral:tRNA from 1 species